GUGCUCACUUUGGGAGCAUAUAUACUAAAAUUGGAAUAAUACAAAGCAGAUUAGCUUGACCCCACAGAAGGAUAACACAAAUUUGUUAAGCAUUCCCCAUUUUU